rnacentral:misc_RNA from 1 species
UUAAGUUCAGCGGGUAUUCCUACCUGAUCCGAGGUCAAUUUUCAGAAAGUUGGGGGGUUUUACGGCAAGAAAAGCACCGCUAGUCUUUACAAACGAGGUAUAAAAAUUACUACGCUCAAAAUUCUAGCGAGCCCGCCACUAAAUUUCAGAGCCUACCCUGUGACAGGUAGUGCUCCAACACCAAGCUAGGCUUGAGGGUU